rnacentral:sRNA from 1 species
GAUAACUUGAAGGACGAACUUGAUAGGAU